rnacentral:rRNA from 1 species
CAGCCGCCGCGGUAAUACGUAGGUGGCGAGCGUUGUCCGGAAUCAUUGGGCGUAAAGGGAGCGCAGGCGGGCAUGUAAGUCUUUCUUAAAAGUGCGGGGCUCAACCCCGUGAUGGGAAAGAAACUAUGUGUCUUGAGUACAGGAGAGGAAAGCGGAAUUCCCAGUGUAGCGGUGAAAUGCGUAGAUAUUGGGAGGAACACCAGUGGCGAAGGCGGCUUUCUGGACUGCAACUGACGCUGAGGCUCGAAAGCCAGGGGAGCGAACGGGAUUAGAGACCCCAGUAGUCCCUGUCUCUUAUACA